GGGGCAGUGGGAAGUGUCCCGCAGCAGAUCAGCUGGUUUAAAGGAAAUUCCUCAGCAGUAGGCUAUAACUUCUUUGUUACCGAUUUAACUGUACGAGGCAUACCAUUUAACUUUGGAAAUCACAUAAGAAGAAUAUAUAAUUCGUUUGGUAAUGACAGCAGGUGAGAGGUGAUCACCAUGCCCUCUCUGCCCGUCGUGCCAGAGGCCUACAGCCAUGUCCUGGCCGAGUUCGACUGCCUGGACCCCCUGCUUGCUGCCUUGCGCCUGGACUCCGGCCGGCUGAAGUGCACCUGCUUGGCAGUGUCCAGGAAGUGGUUAGCGCUGGGUACUUCUGCCGGGGGUCUGCACCUCAUUCAGAGGGAGGGCUGGAAACAACGGCUCAUUCUGACACACAAGGAAGGAUCCAUCACGCAGGUCGCUUGCUGCCCCCACGAUGACGACUUUGUUGCUGUUGCUACGAGUCAGGGCCUGGUGGUGGUGUGGGAGCUUCAGCUGGAGCGGAGAGGGCGCCCCGAGCGGGUGUCGGUGUCCUGGGAGCAUCGGGGCGGCGCCGUGACGGCGCUCUGCUGGGACAGCGCCGCGCUCCGCGUGUUCGUCGGGGACGCCGGCGGGAAAGUGUCCUUCCUCCGCGCCGGGUCCUCCAAACUGGGAAAGGGGUCCGCGUUCGUCAUCUUCCCCGUUCAGACCAUCACCACGGUGGACUCGCGCGUGGUGCAGCUGGGUUUCCAGGACAACCGGCUCCUGGUGUCCUCUCUCAGCCGCUGCUACCUGUGUGACACGGAGAGGGAGAAGUUCUGGCGGGUGGGCAAUAAGGAGAGGGAUGGCGAGUACGGGGCCUGCUUCUUCCCGCAGGGGCGUGGCCUGGGAGCGAGCCAGCCCCCUCUGCUCUACUGUGCACGCCCCGGCUCCCGCGUGUGGGAGGCCAAUUUCAGCGGAGAGGUUCUGAGCACACACCAGUUUAAACAGCUGCUGGCCUGCCCCUCUCUCCCACUCAUCUCCUACAGGUGUGACCCUCAGUACAGUCCGGCCCAGCGGCGCCCCCAGUCCAUCGCUUUCCCCAGACUGCUGUGUCUCAGCGAUCAGAACCUGCUGACCUGGACUGACUCUGCCAUGUACAUCUUCGUACCUCAGAGUGGUCAAGUCCUGCUCUGGACGGAGAUUAAAGAUGUGGUGGACGUGGCGGUCUUCCGCAGCGAGCUGUUCUGUCUCCACGGCGACGGGCGCCUGUCGCACCUCUCGCUGCUGCCCGCCGAGCGCUGCGCGGAGCGGCUGCUGCGGCGGGAGUCCUGGCCGCUGGCCGCCGCCGUCUGCUGCAUGUUCCAGCACGCCGUCGCCCCCUGCAGGGUAAGGAAGAUACUUCCCAUCGACCGCCUGGAGUACCUGAGGUCACAGCUCAGCAACUCCACCCACCAAGACCUCAUCAGCCAAUUGGAGGAAGUCAUCGCCAAGCUGGAGCCCCUGGACUCCGCCUCCAGCAGCCGAAGAAGCAGCAUCUCGUCACACGAGAGUUUCAAUGUGCUGGACUGUGGGAUCUAUCGGGUCAUCAGCCGCAGGGGUAGCCAAUCGGAUGAAGAGACAAGCUCCCUUGUUAGCCAAUCAAUGUUAGAAGAGGAACGGCUCAAGGAAUUUAGCUUUAUUCAGGAGGACGAGCCAGUGGAUCAGGAUCAGCCACCCGAGCGCCCCGAGCCCGAUCGCUCUGAGGCCGGCCUGCAGUUCCACCUCCCUCUCUCAUUCCGCCCCAAACCCCCCCGUGUGGCACUACAGGCCGUCAGAGACAGUGUCUCCAGCUUUGUCAAGAAGACCACGGAGAAGAUCAACACCCUCCAGAUGAACUCCGAGCUCUGGGCUCGUCCCGACCUGAAGGAAGGGGGGCAGAGUGAUGUGGCGGUCACCAGCACCCCAAUCUCCGAGGAGAGGGACGAAGAGUCGAGUGCCGACUCUCUUGGUGCAGAUACGCACCUCCAGGAGCUGAGAGAGGCCACUGACCGAGCAAUCUCUCAAGUGCAGGACCCAGUGGUUCUGUUGGACCCGGCCUGUCUGGGAGAGGUUCUGCAAGAGUGGCUGCCGGUCCUGGAGCGGGUCCUGGGCCCGCACGAUUCUCCCCCGGCCGAGGAGAACCCGCCAGGCCCGGAGAACCCUCUGGAACCAGGCUGCGAGGGGGAGCGUCCCGACAGCAGCGCUACCGCCACCGAGGGGGGGCCAGAGGAGCGGGACGAGGCGCGCCCCGGCCGGGAAGGGGCCGCCGAGGGUGUCCCCGGGCCCCAGGGCCCCGAGGGGGGGCCGGCAGAGCCGAUCCGUGUGACCUCGCCGCAGCCCGUGCCCUCCAACCUGCUGGCCGACCUCUCGCAGCUGGCCUCCCUCAGCCUGGACCUGGGCCGUUUCCAUGGUGGCGCUUCCUGCGAGGAGGGCGCCUGCUCCUUCCUGCGUCGGUACUUCUUCCUGUUGGAUCCCGAGCGCAUGCAAAGGGCCUGUGCGUUCAGGUACCGGGACCUGCCCGCGGUCCGGGAGGCGUACAUCGCAGGCCUGCUCGAGCUGACUCGGUCCAGUCCGGUGGUGCCGGUCAUAGAGAAGGGGGACCUGCUGAAGUCCCUUCGGACACUGAGGGAACUGCAGCCCUGGACCCCACCCCCACUGCUGGCUCACCUGCACAGGCUGUAUGAGAAGCAUGGCGAGCUGGCUGUCCGCUCCUUCGCCCAGUUCUAUCCCACAAUCCUCCCCUCUGACGUCAUGGCCAUGGCCAACAGGAGCCACUUCCUGGCCUACCUGGAUAACCUGGUGCACUCUCGUGCAGAGGAGCAGAGACUCUCCUUCCUUGGGUCCCUCCUUCAGCCCGAAUCACUGCGGCAAGAAUGGCUGGAGCUGGCGCUAUCCCAUGAUGCACCACAAAAAGUCGACACCCUGACCUUAAGCGGACAGCCCAGGUGGCGCUCUCAUCUUUUCCGAUGGGGAUACGGGCGUCUCCUGUCCCUCCUGAUCCAGCUGCCAGCUGACCUGGCCUCCAAGCAGAAGAUGGCGGAGACUUGCAAAAGUUUUGGGUACUGGACAGGCUACCUGUCUCUGUGCUGUCAGCUACAGCGCCGCCCAGAGGCCUUUGCUACCAUCUGCAGCCUGGAUGACUUGAGCCUGUUAGAGGGACCCAAUGGCAUAAACCCUGAGACCCUGGAGGAAUGGAAGCUCCUCCUCCAGCUUUCCCAGCAACAGCGUGACUCUCCUGACCCCGCCCCUGACCCCUCCCCCGGCCCCGCCCAGCCCAACGGUAACGGUCUGUCCAACGGCUCCUGUGAUUCGCGCGGCCAGAUCAGCCCGGAGAGCCUGGUGCUGCGAUUGGCCCGUAUAAUCGGGCCGGACCGGGCCAUUGAGGCACUGGAGGACUGUGGGAUAUGUGUGGAGCUGGGACCACGCUCAAGUCUGAUCUGCGAGCUGCUGAGAAUGGCGGAAAAGAGGCAGAGGGCUUUGAUCCAGACCAUGCUGGAGCGCUGUGAUCGUUUCCUCUGGUCCCAGCAGGCCUAGAGCCGGCCACUGUGACUGCAGGUCUAGAGCCGGCCACUGUGACUGUGACUGCAGGCCUAGAGCCGGCCACUGUGACUGCAGGCCUAGACCAGGCCACUCUGACUGACUGCAGGCCUAGAGCAGGCCACUGUGACUGCAGGUCUAGACCAGGCCACUCUGACUGACUGCAGGCCUAGAGCAGGCCACUGUGACUGCAGGUCUAGAGCAGGCCACUGUGACUGACUGCCGGCCACUGUGACUGACUGCAGGCCUAGAGCAGGCCACUGUGACUGUGACUGCAGGCCUAGAGCCGGCCACUGUGACUGUUGGCCAAGCCUGUGCAACUGUGACUACGGCUGCAAUCAGACCUGGCCCAAAGACUAUCUGAAAUAUUUUAACUCUUUCAUGUGGUUGUACAUUUUGUUUCGUAACAUAUUAGUAUACAUAUAUAAAAAAUAUUGGAGAUCUAUUUGGGUGUUUCCACAUAGUAUGGCAACUAAACGGUUUUAAGGUUUUCAAAUGCGUUUGAACGAGGUCUGGUCAGAAUAUGUGCGUGACCGGCGUUGGUGUCCAGCCUUUCCAAGUCUAAACCAAUACACUUGUAUGACAGGUGGUUAAAUAACAGUAUUUUAUUUUAGUGUUAUGGAUUUUAAAAUGUCUUCAUUGUUGUUUUAAUAUGUAAAAAAUAUUAAUUUCUCAUAUGUCUGGAGUUGGUUAAAUGUUUUGCUGUUUGAGGGUUACUUGUAAAGAGUAAUUCAGCCGAAGCCUUUGAUCAUGUGCAUUUAUGAGCCAAUACUGAUUUUCUUUAAGCGUGUCCUUGAAUGUAUAUAUGAGACCCCAUCGCAUCUGGGUGUUGGGUGCAUUAUUUUAAAAUGUGAGGAUUUAAAGAAAUUAAUCCUGCAAGCCCUCGUUCAUUAAUUUAAGUGAUCAACUCUUUCUCAAGUGCGUCUGUUAGGUACUGAAAAAUGUUUAACCCCAUAUUUAAUGUGUCUACUGCAUACCAAGCUAAACUGCUGCUUAAUCAUGAACAAAUACUGAUGAAAAUAUAGAGAACACAUUUAAUCUCUUAUGAGGUAAUGGAGAGUCUUAAGGUGAAUAGUUGUGUACUUUUAUAUCUGUUUGUUGACCUUGCUUAUAAACUUUCCACAUCCAUCCCUAUGAAAACAAUUUGUGUUUCUUUUUAUUUCUCUGAAAUCGUACCUCAGGGUGCCUGUUCCAAUGCAAGCCGUGUUGGCAGAGAGACAGCUGUACAGGAAUGCAGCUGAAUUGUGUAUCGUUGGUUGUACAGAAAUGCAGUUGCUUGUGUUUUGCUAAUCAUACUGGAAUGCAUGUCUCUUUCUUCUGUGCCGCAUUAUCUUUCCUCAGUGUCCUGUUUAGCAGCUUCCACUUAAGCACGGCCAUAUACCACUAAAGCACCGUUAUAUACCACUAAAGUACUGCUAUAUAUCACUGAAGUACUGCUGUACACCACUACAGCACUGUUGUAUACCAAUAAAGUACUGCUAUAUACCAAUGAAGUACUGCUGUACACCACUACAGCACUGUUGUAUACCAAUAAAGUACUGCUAUA